GAUGAAGAACGUAGCGAAAUGCGAUAAGUAAUGUGAAUUGCAGAAUUCAGUGAAUCAUCGAAUCUUUGAACGCACAUUGCGCCCGCCAGUAUUCUGGCGGGCAUGCCUGUCUGAGCGUCAUUUCAACCCUCAUGCCCCUAGGGCGUGGUGUUGGGGAUCGGCCAAAGCCCGCGAGGGACGGCCGGCCCCUAAAUCUAGUGGCGGACCCGUCGUGGCCUCCUCUGCGAAGUAGUGAUAUUCCGCAUCGGAGAGCGAUGAGCCCCUGCCGUUAAACCCCCAACUUUCCAAGGUUGACCUCAGAUCAGGUAGGAAUACCCGCUGAACUUAAGCAUAUCAUAAGCGGAGGA
rnacentral:misc_RNA from 1 species